GAGGGUAGGAGAGGUGAGGUACGUAUUUGGUAUAAUGCGUAGUAUAUUUUGUAGCUAGAUCGAACACGAUCGUCUCCAAAGUGAUUGUUAUCUUAUCUGUAAUAUUUCUGCGAACUAGCCUUUUAUCUUGCUGGUUCGAAUAGCAAGGAAGCCAUCUUUUUUCGUAGCAAAAUGGUACGACUACGUAUGUAAUUCACGUCGCAUUUUGCAUUUUCGUCCUCACUUCUCAUUCUGUCUCCAGCCUGCCACGUUCGAACUACGUUCGGUUUUUUCGGUUUUUCGGUCGGUUUUUUUUCCAAAAUGUGUUAAUUAUCAUUUUUAUUUCGAUCGUAACUCGAAUGCGGUCAACUAAUUCGUAGUUUUUCGCGAUUGAUGUGCGAUUUUUCGUGGAUUUUUUUCAGGUAACGUGUCGUCGUGUCUCAAGAGUACCUGACCUGUCUUCGAGCAAGAGCAGUCAUCAUGGAGAAGGGUUGUGCAGAAACGUGAAGAUUUUUUCCAAAGAAUAUUCAAGAGUGAAAUUUGAGGACACCUUCAACUUCUCAACAACCCCAGUUCCAGUUUCUUGUUGGUAAGUUUUUGCACAUGUUUUUUUUAUAAUGCAUAUUACAAGUAUCAAGGUCAGUGCAACAGCUGAUGUUGCAUCAUUUGAUCAGAUUAUGAGACUUUUCCCAAUGACAUAUUUUUUACUUGCUACGUAUAAUCCCCUUGUCCCUCUCUCACAUUUCAUGACCACUUUGAAAGCAAAUUUCCAGGAUUGAAAAAUCGAAAUGACGUUGAGUAUUUUUUGUGAUUGAUCGAACCAUUUUUUCUAAUUUUUUAUGGUAGGAAUUGUGUAAUUACUCGAGUCUUAGCUACUUAGGUACUUACUUACUUAUACUUUCUAUUCUACUCUCCAGUUCGAAGUAAAGUAAUAUGACAAAAAAUUGACCUUCGUUAAGACCAUAUUCAGUACUGAUUAAUUUUAUCAAUUUUGAUUUUUUAUUUCUGAAAUGAUAUCCAAGUACCUACCUUGCCUUUUCUGUGUGAGCUUUCGUGAGAUGAGUUGUUGGAACUUGGGAGGUAAAUUGUCAGAAAAUACUGCCAAGGUAUUCUUUACAUGAUACCUAUUUACUCAAAAACGAGUGAAAAAAACUCUCAGAAAGUCCUCUUUCGAAUUUGUGAACGUGAAAAAUUUGAGAAAAUGCUGGAAGUACGAAGUAUGUGUACUAUGACUCGAGAUGGAUAUUUUGGCGAAAAAAAUCCUGCAAUAUGGUUCGGUUUAGAAUUUGUAUCGGUUUGAAAUUGACUCAAAUUCGCUCUAAAUGAGAUGACGUGAGCAAUGAGCAUGAUUUCAGAUUUCCACUCUUCUGCCAUGCCAUUUUUAUGGUGCCAUGUUGUAGCUGAGUAAUUUUCUAUUUAAUAUGGGUAUCUAGUCUCGACUUUUCGAGUACUUUGGUGCCAGAAUUUUCGUGUAAAUGCAGAAGAAAGGGAGGAGUGAGAGUUACGAGGCACUCGGUAUCGAUAUUUCGUUGUACGUAUCAUACAAAUGGCUUCGUUCGAUGCAGCCUUCGAGUCGGGGUUUUUUCGGAAUUACGAUAAGAUAACACUUUUGCCAUUCGAUUCUUGUCUCUGCCUAUGAGCAAAUCUAUUGUGAAGACGAAUGAAUUCUACGUAAUCCGAAUUCGUGUUCAGUUUCGACUUGAUUCUCGUACUAGUAUGAUCGAGAAGUACUUAGUAUGGUUGAUGACGCGACGUGUUCGAAUUUUUCCAAUUUUUUCGCGUAAAAGGUUGAAUUGGUUGAAAUAUUGUUUUGAGAAUUCGAAUUUUUUACCACGGUUCGUAAUAUCGGUGACUUUGUUUCUUAUUAAUGUCGUGAUUAGGUACCUAUUUGCGUAUGGGUAACCGAAGUAUUUCGAGUAAUGUUACUAGCUGAAAUUUUUGUUACGUAAAUUUUUAACGUGUUGUACGCGGAAUUUAUGUUGAUCGUUGAUAUUUCGUAUUCGUAUAAAAAUAAUUUUCGAGUAAUUUGGUUGAUCUUUUUUUUUUGGAACGAGAUCCUCGUGGAUGACUGAGGUGAAAAUCUUCAUCGAAGAGAAGACGAAACAUCGUGGUUCUCUCUGCUCGGCGAUUACUUCGGUAAUUUUGAUCCGAGUGAAUUCAAUUCGAAGAACGAAGAAGAGGUCAGAAAAUGUGGCGUUUUCCAUACAUCGAUCGUUACCUGGAAGGAUGUCGUGGUAAGAAAUUCGUUAUACCAAUUCUCUAUGUUUGAGCUUGUUUUUUUUUUUGCGAGUUUGUACGCAACUAAGUACGCACAUUGCGAGAAAAAAAUUUCAUAUGAGUAAAAUUGUGAGUUCUCCUCUGUCUUUUCAAGGCUGUGUUGCAACAUGCGUUUGAAAAAUGCUCUUCGAAAUGGUAUAAAAUUGAUUUUGUUGACGAUCGUUCAAAGUAUACCUAUUGCAUGUCGAGUUACGAAUAUUUUGUUACCCAUCAUGAAACGUGUGGUAAAUUGAAUGUGUUUGGAAUUUUCUAAAAUUAAUUCUUCGAGUUUUUUUUUUUUUUUUGAAGGUGUGUUAACCUUUGUAUGAAUUUUCGACAAUCAAAGAUCGAAGAAGGGAGGGAAUUGAAGACGCUACGAAGUAAAGUUGUUUUUUUUUUUGAAGGUGUGUUAAACCUUUGUAUGAAUUUUCGACAAUCAAAGAUCGAAGAAGGGAGGGAAUUGAAGACGCUACGAACUAAUUGCCCCAUUUUAAGUAUUGACAUAUAUCAGAAAUAAAAAACUCGAAUCAGUUUCCGAUCAAUUUGGCAGGAAGGUCAUUCCAUGUCAACUCAACCAACGUUUUUGGGUCAUGUCCUUAGAUUUUGCUCAAAUUUUUUUUACAAUAUCUACCCACCCAGUAAGUAAGAAAGCCGCAA